GACGAACGCUGGCGGCGUGCCUAACACAUGCAAGUCGAGCGGGGAUAGGGCUUCGGUCCUAUUCCAGCGGCGGACGGGUGAGUAACGCGUGAACAAUCUGUCCUAUACAGGGGGAUAACACUUGGAAACAGGUGCUAAUACCGCAUAAGCCCACGGCCCGGCAUCGGGCAGGGGGAAAAGGGGCAACUCGGUAUAGGGUGAGUUCGCGUCCCAUUAGCUAGUUGGCGGGGUAACAGCCCACCAAGGCGACGAUGGGUAGCCGACCUGAGAGGGUGAUCGGCCACACUGGAACUGAGAAACGGUCCAGACUCCUACGGGAGGCAGCAGUGGGGAAUAUUGGGCAAUGGGGGAAACCCUGACCCAGCAACGCCGCGUGAGGGAAGAAGGCUUUCGGGUCGUAAACCUCUGUCCCAUGGGAAGAGAUAGAGACGGUACCAUGGGAGGAAGCCCCGGCUAACUACGUGCCAGCAGCCGCGGUAAUACGUAGGGGGCGAGCGUUGUCCGGAAUGACUGGGCGUAAAGGGCGCGUAGGUGGCCUAACAAGUCUGGAGUGAAAGUCCCGUUUUCAAGGUGGGAAUGGCUUUGGAAACUGUAAGGCUUGAGUGUGGGAGAGGAUAGCGGAAUUCCCGGUGUAGCGGUGAAAUGCGUAGAGAUCGGGAGGAACACCAGUGGCGAAGGCGGCUAUCUGGACCAAGACUGACACUGAAGCGCGAAAGCGUGGGUAGCAAACAGGAUUAGAUACCCUAGUAGUCCACGCGGUAAACGAUGGAUGCUAGGUGUAGGAGGUAUCGACCCCUUCUGUGCCGGAGUCAACACAAUAAGCAUCCCGCCUGGGGAGUACGGCCGCAAGGUUGA
rnacentral:rRNA from 1 species